rnacentral:tRNA from 1 species
GCCCCCGUAGCUCAAUGGAAAGAGCGUCCAACUUACGACUGGAGAGGUUACAGGUUCAAAUCCUGCCGGGGGUA